AUUUAUGAUUUCGGGUUUCGGGCAGGGCCAGGCUUUAAAUUUGCAGAAGUAAUCAGGCCUGGUUCGGGUGGGGCCUGAAUGUCGUGGGCCUGGGUAGGUAAUGAAUGUCGUGGGCCUGAAUGUCGUGGGCCUGGGUAGGUAAUGAAUGUCGUAGGCCUGGGUAGAUCAUGAAUGUUGCGGGCCUGAAUGUCGUGGGCCUGGGUAGAUCAUGAAUGUCGUGGGCCUGGGUAGGUAAUGAAUGUCGCGGGCCUGGGUAGAUAAUGAAUGUCGUGGGCCUGGGUAGAUAAUGAAUGUCGUGGGCCUGGGUCGGUAAUGAAUGUCAUGGGCCUGGGUAGAUUAUAAAUGUCGCAGGCUUGAAUAUCACGGGCAUGGGUAUGAUUCGGGCUUAAAAUUCAUGCCAGUGCAGGGCUCUCCCAGAAUAUUCUAUAGCAUAAUGUGGUUAGCUGAUACGUAAAAUACCUAUCCAGGCUUUGUCAUUUCUGGCAUGAAUCAGCUAUAUCUGAGCAAUAUCCCUCCCCACUCCAUCUGCAGUAUAGGUUUGGUAGUCUUUAUAACAGAGUGUAUAUGCUCUGUCCUCGUUGGCUGGCUGGGUCCUUGCUGACAGGUUGGCAGUGAGAGGUAUCAUUUAUCACCAGGCCUGAGGGCUCACCACACCACAAGCACCAGAUGUUACCACCACACACACACACACACACACACACAUAUACAUACACCGUUGUGUGCUAUUGUUCUCCCUCACCGGUCUUUGUUCUUUCUCCCCCAUACACACCUGGAUAUCCACACACACACACACCAAAGCAAGCUGUCCUUCCUUCCACACAAAUGACCAGCUCAGUACUGUGUGUACUGUAGUGACUUCACCCUCACUGGUACAGCAAGGCAACAGACUGUUGAUACAUGACAUCAACAUACUGUUGACUUCAACAUAAAACACAGGACGUCCUCCAACCUAUCAGAGUUCUUGCAGCAUAAACUGACAUGUUGUCCACCCAAUCAAAGGUUGAGAGAAUUUAUCUAGUACUGAAAUCAUAAGUUACAGCUAGCUAGCACUGCAGUGCAUAAAAUGUGGUGAGUAUUUGACUCAAAGUGAGAAAAAUAAUAAUUUCUUCCAAAAUUAUGGAGAAGCAAGAAAGUGAGAAAGAGAGCUAGUUCUUGUAAUUCUUACCAGCAAUCUGGCCAUCCAAAAUCACAACAACACACUGACCUCUGCCCCAUGGAAGUGCACACAUAAUUUGUGUGACAUUGUCAGCUAACCCAUCUAUACCCCUAUGCCUGAGACGGAAGAAGAAGCAAGACAUCCCACUCCCUAAUUUUUUCUGGUUCAUAUACAGUCAAUGAACUAAGCAGACCCAUUUGCUAAUGCAUUGGUGCCUAUGAGAGAGCCACACUGUUAAGCAGACCGGAACUGACAGUGGGAGAUCUUUAUUUAUCCACCAUCUUUGGUCAGGCAUCAUUGAUGUGGUCCUUUGUACCACAGUUGGUAGAGCAUGGCAUUUGUAGCGCCAAG
ensembl:lncRNA